rnacentral:sRNA from 1 species
GUCAUCAUGGUCUCCAGGAUGAGUCCCUUCUUAUCUGCUGUCCUUGGGAAGUCGCAGAGCCCAGUUAUAGUGUGAACUAGGCUGUCUUCAAGAUCUGGAAGCACUCGUAAUCUGGAUCAUGCUGCACCAAGGAUUCCUGCCGUGUUUACUAAUUGGUACUCUGAAUCCCUUUCCCCAGAGUGAAAGUGACUGUUUUGGUCCCCAAGUUCACAUCUGUUGACUUGUAUCAAGUUAGCCGUCCAGGAAGCACUAUGGUCACCAAAGCUUGAUAAGCAGGGUGUGGUCUCAGUGGAAGGUCACUUCCAGGUGCCGACAUUAUGAAAGGGGGAAUCGGCAGAAGUUACAGGUUAAAACUUGCUCUCACAUCCUUAGUUUGGUCCUCUCCUUUUGUUAUGGUUUGUAAACAAUUGAGCUUGUAUUGCAUUUAGAGGUUUCUAUGGCACAAGAGAAUUCUGAGGACACUCCACAUUCUUCUGUCACUGUGAGGACUGUCUGCAAUGAAGAAGAUGUCACUAAGGAAUGCCCAUAUCAGCCCGUUCACUAUGUCAGGCUGGUCUUGCUGAAGCCAGUGGCUACCUUCUGACAGAAUGAAGCAGCGUCGGUGUUGUCACCAUGUGAUGCUUGAGAGGCAGGCAGCUAUAAAACCAGAACACAUUGGCUUGAGAACCGCUGGGAAGCUGAGUAACCGGUCAAGUACCAUGAGCAAGGACAUCUCGUUCCUGGUCAAUCCAAACAGCCAGUAUCAUCUCAAAGACCCCACCACCACCCUGCUGACCGUCAUAUACAGCCAGCUUCCUUUUCUGUCAAUUUUCUUCUCUUGCUCACUCCCAUCCCCCACCCCAGAGAUAGCCGUGGCAGUCUCCCAAUAGAUUACUGAUCCCCAAUAAAACCUUUCUUUCUACCCAUGGAGUGGCCCGGCUUGGUGGUUUCAUUGCGCACUUGUGUGUAAGUGGUAGGUACUUAGUCUAAUGCACGAGGCUCUGGGUUCAAUCUCCAGCAGCACACAUCAUAUGGAACACAGAACAAGGCAAUCUUACUGAGAGUGACAGUGGGGACGGAGAUGGCCAGAGAAGCCUUCUGAAUGUGGCACCUGACAGGAGGGCUUAGUUUUAAAUGGUGAGAGGGAGCCCAAUAUGCAAAAACCAAGCAAGGGCAUCCAGGAACUGCCGAAGAAGUGUUGGGGUUGAGAUAGACAAGCAGCAGGGAGAAAGCCAGUGUUCAGGGCACCAUGAGGUGAGGCAGGAGGAGGAGCCUGCCUGUGUAGGUGUGGGAUGGUAAGUAUUUUAACUACUUGGCAAGACACUGCAGACAAAGCAGGAGAACUCUGAUCACACACAUGGCCCGACUGGUACUGUGCUCUCUUCUGCUUGCUGUGGACACUUGGGUUUUACUUUUCUUUUUUUUUUAA